AGUCGAGUUGUUUGGGAAUGCAGCUCAAAAUGGGUGGUAAAUGCCAUCUAAGGCUAAAUAUUGGGGAGAGACCGAUAGCGAACAAGUACAGUGAUGGAAAGAUGAAAAGAACUUUGAAAAGAGAGUUAAAAAGUACGUGAAAUUGCCAAAAGGGAAGGGUAGGAGGUCAGAGAUGCGUCUUGGGAUUCAGCCUUGCUUUUUGCAUGGUGUUUUUCCCAAGUUGCAGGCCAACGUCGGUUUUGGGCACUGGAGAAGGGUGGAAGGAACGUGGCACCUCUCGGGGUGUGUUAUAGCCUUCUACUGGAUACAGCGACCG
rnacentral:rRNA from 1 species